rnacentral:rRNA from 1 species
GAUGAACGCUGGCGGCGUGCCUAAUACAUGCAAGUCGAACGGGGAGUAGCAAUACUCUUAGUGGCGAACGGGUGAGUAACGCGUUGGUACCUGCCCCGAAGCGGGGGAUAACGGACCGAAAGGUCCGCUAAUACCCCAUGUGCUCGGUAACGAGUAAAGGUGAAAACCACUUUGGGAGGGGCCUGCGUCCCAUCAGCUAGUUGGUAAGGUAACGGCUUACCAAGGCGAUGACGGGUAGGGGACCUGAGAGGGUGGCCCGCCACAAUGGAACUGAAACACGGUCCAUACACCUACGGGUGGCAGCAGUAGGGAAUAUUGGUAAUGGGCGCAAGCCUGAACCAGCAACGCCGCGUGUGCGAUGACGGCCUUCGGGUUGUAAAGCACUUUUGACUGGGACGAGGAAGGACGGUACCGGUCGAAUCAGCCUCGGCUAACUACGUG